rnacentral:rRNA from 1 species
GGGGGGGGGGGGGGGGUGGGGGGGGGGGGGGGGGGGGGGGGGGGGGGGGUGAGGGUGCGCCUCGGACUGUAGCUGCGGACGGGUUAGGGACGCGUGGGUAGCCUUCCUCUAAGGCUGGGCUGAGUUCGUGGCUCCCCUGCUUAUACCGGCUGCUCUAUCGAACCGCACGUCUCAACAGUUCCACACUCUUUUGCUAUCACUCCUGUCUGUGCACCAGCCGCAUUACCUAGUUGGUAAGGUACCGCCUUACCAAGUCCACGAUGCGGAGCCGACCUGAGAGGGUGAUCGGCCACAAUGGAACGGAGACACGGUCCAGACUCCUACGGGAGGCAGCAGUAGGGAAUCUUCCGCAAUGGGCGAAAGCCUGACGGAGCAACGCCGCGUGAGUGAUGAAGGGCUGCGGAUCGUAAAACUCUGUGAUUAGGGAAGAACAAAUGUGUAAGUAACUAUGCACGUCUUGACGGUACCUAAUCAGAAAGCCACGGCUAACUACGUG